AGUAACGCGUGGGUAACCUGCCUCAUACAGGGGGAUAACAGUUAGAAAUGACUGCUAAUACCGCAUAAGCGCACAGUGCUGCAUGGCACAGUGUGAAAAACUCCGGUGGUAUGAGAUGGACCCGCGUCUGAUUAGCUAGUUGGUGGGGUAACGGCCUACCAAGGCGACGAUCAGUAGCCGGCCUGAGAGGGUGACGGCCACAUUGGGACUGAGACACGGCCCAA
rnacentral:rRNA from 1 species